UUAUUAAUGAGUUUUUGAACUUUAUAUAAAGAAUACUAAUAAGGCAGUAUCUAUUGUAGUCGUGUCCUCAUUAGUAUUUUUUAUAUAAAGAAUGCUAAUAAGGCAGUAUAUCUAUUGAAUUUGUAGUCGUGUUUGAAGCCGUUUAAUGAACUCGCAGGUCGUGUUUUAUUAGGUCUAAAGCCACUCGCGCUUCGCGCUCGUGGCUUUAAACCUAAUAAAACACUCCUGCUCGUUUAUUAAAC